rnacentral:rRNA from 1 species
UACGUAGGAGGCAAGCGUUGUCCGGAUUUAUUGGGUUUAAAGGGUGCGUAGGCGGCUUGUUAAGUCAGUGGGGAAAUACUCUAGCUCAACUAGAGGGGUGCCAUUGAUACUGAUGAGCUUGAGUACAGAUGAGGUAGGCGGAAUUGACGGUGUAGCGGUGAAAUGCUUAGAUAUCGUCAAGAACACCUAUAGCGAAGGCAGCUUACUAGGCUGUAACUGACGCUGAGGCACGAAAGUGUGGGGAUCAAACAGG